rnacentral:rRNA from 1 species
GGAGCGGAGUAGCGGAGUGGCCCCCGGGAAGGAUGCCUUGGCCGGCUGCGGGUGCCCUGGGUGGGGCUGCGCGUCUAUGUGGCGACCUCAUCGAGACCAAGAAGCCGGCGUCGGUGAUGCUGCUGCACAUCGAUGACCUCCUCCCUCUCAUGCAUGCCCGCCGUCGUGCACCGUGACAGUCGAUGCAGGGAGAGGAGGACGACCCCAGCCAUGGAGCAGCAAGAACUCAAGUUUAAGGUCAAAGUGAUGGUCAUGGGUGAAAUUAGGGACGAUGCCUAGCAGCAACAACUCACCAACACCUGCUCCGACACCAUGGACCAACAGCAGCA